rnacentral:lncRNA from 1 species
UAUAACUCUUUAACAGCUUCAUUUUCUUCACUUGUAAAAUGUAAUUUAUAACAGUUAUUUUUAUAAGGCUUUGUGCUUUCUGUUUUCAAUGGGUCCUUGUUCAUUGCCAUUUGGAAUUUCCCCUGCAGAUACUUCUGAACAACUUCAUUGGUGCACUCCUACUUUCUGAAGUGCGUGAUUCUCUCUGCAUGACUGCAUGCACAGAAAUCCACCAUAAUCCAGGGUGGGGACCUGGCUGUAAGUUUAGUGACACAUGAGGUCCUGUGGAAGAUAUCAAGGUGAUUAAGAAUGCUUCAGACAAGUGUGAUAAAAUGGAC